rnacentral:rRNA from 1 species
UACGUAGGGGGCAAGCGUUAUCCGGAUUUACUGGGUGUAAAGGGAGCGAAGACGGCGGUGCAAGCCAGAUGUGAAAGCCCGGGGCUCAACCCCGGGACUGCAUUUGGAACUGUGCUGCUAGAGUGUCGGAGAGGCAGGCGGAAUUCCUAGUGUAGCGGUGAAAUGCGUAGAUAUUAGGAGGAACACCAGUGGCGAAGGCGGCCUGCUGGACGAUGACUGACGUUGAGGCUCGAAAGCGUGGGGAGCAAACAGG